UAGGGAAUCUUCCGCAAUGGACGAAAGUCUGACGGAGCAACGCCGCGUGAGUGAGGAAGGUCUUCGGAUCGUAAAACUCUGUUGUCAGGGAAGAACCGCCGGGAUGACCUCCCGGUCUGACGGUACCUGACGAGAAAGCCCCGGCUAACUACGUGCCAGCAGCCGCGGUAAUACGUAGGGGGCAAGCGUUGUCCGGAAUUAUUGGGCGUAAAGCGCGCGCAGACGGCUUCUUAAGUCGGGUGUGAAAGCCCACGGCUCAACCGUGGAGGGCCAUCUGAAACUGGGGAGCUUGAGUGCAGGAGAGGAGAGCGGAAUUCCACGUGUAGCGGUGAAAUGCGUAGAGAUGUGGAGGAACACCAGUGGCGAAGGCGGCUCUCUGGCCUGUAACUGACGCUGAGGCGCGAAAGCGUGGGGAGCAAACAG
rnacentral:rRNA from 1 species